rnacentral:lncRNA from 1 species
UUAACUUGAACCCUCUAUUGAUUUGAUGGAUAAAGUGUUUAUCACCUCAAAUGUGAUUUGGGUUAGCUCAACUUUUAUUAAUGCCAAUGCCAACCCUACCAAAACCUUUUGGACAAUUAUUUCCAAGAUUUAAACCAACAAAAAGAAAAUCAAUAAGUAAUAAAACCAUAGAAAAUAAAAGAAAAAAAUUGCCUUUGAAGCACAUUCAAUUCAGCACUUGAUUCUCUUUGAUAUCUCCAUGAUUGCUUCAUCUUUAUUCAUAAUAUCAAACAUAGGCAAACACAACCAUAACUGUAACCCCCCCUACCCCUACCAACAUUUUAUUGAACUAUAACUAACAUAGGAUAACUAGUUGGCCUCUUAAAACAGACAAAGGCCAGACCCCAAACCAAACCAAACUGCUAAACAACAAAGCAGACAUCAUUGAAAAGAUCCCAUCCCCAGAUUGCAUCAUUUUCAAUUCUUAGAAAGGAGGAGCAUAGAGCUGGAGAACCUUCUGCCAGGACGGUCUGCUGCUAAUAUCAUCCCACCAAGCACUCACAUGCUUCCUGCUGGUUAUCAUGUAUUCCUUUCCCAUUUGACCCACCAAGUACUGAGUAAAUGGCAGGUGGCUCAGGUCAGCAAGGCUGAAGAAAUCACCGGCCAAGUACUUGUUCUUUGACAGCCUCUCCUCAUAAAUAUCCAGAACUUUGCCUAGCUUUUCCUCGCUUUCCUUGAUCAAAUUUUCAUCAGGAGGGAACCCCAUCUUGGAAGCAAACAUCAAAUGUAGGGUCAAGGCGUAAAUUGGUGGGUUGAAAUUGUGUGCCUCAACCUCUAGCCAAUUUUCCACUUGACCCCUUUCCUCUACUGUCUUUCCCAGUAGAUCAGUCCCUUGUGAUUUGUAUUUUUCUGCAUAGUACCUUAUGAUUGCACGAGAUUCUGCAAAAACCCAAAUUGUAAAAAUCAUCAUUUGGUGCUGUUUAAUUAUUAUGAAUAUUAAAGUAAGAAAGAUUUGUUUUUAAGAAAGUGAUUUAGAAUGUCAUCUUUCUUUGCUAAAGAGUGAGCACUCACAAAUUAAAGUCUUUCUAGGUACUUUUAUCAAUCGUAUUCUCUAUAUUAGAAAAAUAUGGAAUUCUCCAGGACCACUGCUGUCUUUGUUUUCUAGGAAAAGUUCUAUCACUUGCAUUAUAAUAUGAAACACUGGAACCAAUCAACCACUAUGAUAAAAGGGUAAGUAAAAUUGUAUUUUAUCCUCUCUUUUUUUACUAAAUAAUAGAUAAAUCAAUUUUUAGAGGCAGAUUAUUUAUUGCGAACACUCACUUUCAACGAUUUAUUAGACUCUAGGAAUAAAUUUUUAGUGCCCUUUUUUUUAAUCUUAUACAUUCUCAAAGACCCUAAAAAAUUUGGGGGAGAAGAUAGCAUCUGAAUCUACAUGUAAGAAAAACAGGAGAUAAAUUACCAUAUAAAACAUAAUCUCCAUCUUCAGUGACAGGAACUGUUCCAAAAGGCUGCAAAGAAGAGAUUGAGAUGAUUGAUUGUUUUUAACAAAAAAAAAAGAGGGGGAGGGGGCUUAAGAAGGUGACCUGGAGCUUGAGAAAUUCAGGGUCUUUGUGCUCUCCUUUAAGCAAAUCAACAGGGACAGUCUCGAAUUCAAUCUCCUUUUCAAUAAGACAUGCAAUCACUCGCUUUGGAGAAGCAAAGGCUGGGCCAUACACCUUCACCACCAUUGUUGUAGUCCUUGGCUGACUGUUGUAUCCAAAUUGUUCACUGCAUUUAACAGCGUUUAUGGCCUCUUCAAUUUAUAGAAAAUUGGCUGCUGCAGUGCUUUCCCAUUAUUGCCCCCCGUAGGUGGUGGGUGGGACUUUUCUGCUCUACUGAUUAGGAAGGUUAAGUAUUUUGAUAAGGCUAGUAUUGUGAAAUGGAGAUGGCCCCAUUAGUUAAAGGAUUAACACCACCAGCUUGUUUUUCUAUAAUUGGAGGUGGGAUAUGAAAUUAUUUGAAAUAGAUACUAAAUUUUUACUAUUAAGUGGAGAUUAUUAGCAGCUUACCAUUUUUGUUAUUAUCUGAAAUUGAAGUAAAAACAAAUUUGAGUGUUUAAAUUAGUAACGUCCAAUUCUCAAAAAACAGAAAAAGUAACGUACAGCAUCUCUUCCAAGGUUGAGAGAUUACAUCAACAUGGCAUUAUUACAAUGGAGAAUCAGACAACGGUGGGUGGCUUGUUUUGUCCUAUAAUAUAACAGUAGAUUAAAAUAAAAGAAAAGGUGAAAUAUGCUCAUAAAAUUAUUUACCAAAAUAGUAUAAUUUUAUUGGUGCCGCUUGUCAAAUUGGUGAUACCGAAUUAAAAUGUAAUGAUCUAAAGUAUUUAGGGAUUUGUUAUGCAAUUUUUACAUUUAGAGUGGCUGCUAAAAAAAGGGGAAGACUGUGUGGCGGCAUCAAACUUUAAAUAUGAUUAAUUGUCUUGUAAGCCCUCCUUAUUUAUUUUUAUUUUUAUUUCCCUUCAAUUCACUAUAUUAUUUUUAAACAAGCCCUUAACCUAUUUUUAUAGUUAAAUAAGCCCUUAACUUAUGGUUUUUACUAAUAAAAAGCUAUUUAUUUUAAUAUUAAAUUAAAUAUAUUUUGAAUUUCAAGCUCUUAUCUUAAUUUUUUGUUGAUGCAAUAAAAAUUAUAUACACUUUAACAUCAACAUAAAAUCUAAAAAAGUAAUCAAAAUUUCAAAAGAGUAGUUAAAAAUAUCAUGUAUAUAAGCACUCUCAAGAAAUUUUAAAAUUUUAUUUUUUUUAUUUAAUAAACUAUUCUCAUCAAAUUCACAUCAACAUAAAAUGUGAAUUAGUUUAUAUUUUUUUAAAUAGCUUUACUUUGGGUAAAAUAUAUUUCUUUAAUAUUAAAAUAAAAGGCUUUUAUGAGUAAAAACCAUUAGUUAAUGGCUUAUUUAACUACAAAAAUAGGUUAAGGGCUUGUUUAAAAACAAUAUAGUGAGUUGAAGGGGAAUAAAAAAUAAUAAUAAAUAAGGAGGGCUUGCAAGACAAUUAGCCAUAUUUAAAGUUUGGUGCCGCUACAUUGUCAGGCGACACCCUUUCCUUUCUUUUCAGCCUUCUUUUCAGCAACCAUUCUAAAUGGAAAAAUUGCACAACAGAUCCCUAAAUACUUUAGAUCAUUACAUUUCAGUCCAGUAAAACUAUACCAUUUUGGUAAAUAAUUUUAUGGGCAUACCAUUUCAGUUAUUAAUUUUAUUUUUUUGUAUAACUUAGGUAAAAAAAGCCUUAAAAAAAACUUUUACCACAUUUCAUGUCAUUUAUUUUAUUUAAAAAAUAGAUAAAUUAAUUAUUGUAUAUUAAAUCAAAAAGAAAAUUAGUUAUUUUAUUAAAAGUAUCAUCUAUUUCUAUUGUUAAAAACAGGUCCAUGUACGUCAUCAUGAUGCACACAUGGCAUCACGUGCAACUCUUUAAUUAUUACGUUAGUUCUUUCUAUUAAAAUUUUUAUCUAACUUAUAGGGACUAGUUACCCAUUUUUUUGGUGAAAGAGGGUAAAUUGCAGUCUAACACUUAAUACAAGGACCUUCAUGGUAUUUUUACCAAUAAAAGACAAAGUAUAUUUGUAUAAGUGAUCAAAGUAGUCAUACCCAAAAGCCAAUGCAAGAUUUAUGUUUUAGGGUUCAUUUGAUAUUUGAUAAGUGUCAAAAGUAACAUAUUUUGCCUCACUCUUGGUGCACUUUUUGGUGAUUAUAUGGUUGACCUACCACAAUAAAUUGUAGUGGCAAUUUAAGUACUUUUUGGCAUUUAAUGAGUUUGUUUCCUAGCUAUUUUAGUAUAUUUUAUUGCAUUUUCAAUUUUCUUAUCUUAAAGUUAAAUUAUUGCAAAAUAAGCAUUUUUACGCCAUAUUUCGACUUAGUUGACCUAUUGGGCAAAUGCCGACCUUAAGGUGAUUUUAAUGAGCUUCAUUGAGUGUGCAAGACACCUAUUUUUAAGCCCAAAAGCAUCAGGAAUGAUGGUCGAGUUGCAACACAAACUUAUGGGGUCGCAACACAACUGAACCAAUUCCGGAAUUAACAUUCGAAGUUGUGUGUCUUGACACAUGUUUGAUGGAAGGAAAAAUUAAUUAAGGGUGUUUCAGUCCGCACAAUCCAUAUUUAGUGUGAUUAAGGCUUGUAUUUGACCUAAAUUGAACAACUUUGCCUAUACAUAGUUAAGCAUAGGUUAAGCUUGGGAGCUUUUGGCCAAGCCAUUUGUUGGGGAUCGACCCGUAUAAACAAAGAUAUAGUAAAAAUGGAGAAGAACGAAUGCAAAUGUUUUACGUGGAAACCCCUCAAAGAAGAACAAAAAACCAUGGGCAAAUGAGGCAUCGAAUUAACAUUAAAAUGAGAGUAUAAUGAGAAUACAAAAACCCAAGCCCCGAAUACAAAGCUCACAGCCAAAGCUCUCACAAAAAGGGUUUCACAAAAUUCUCUCAAACUCUCACCAAAACUCCAUAUGCGACUAUAUCUUGUCGCCCCCAAAAGAAAAGCCCUGUAGUAUACAUUUUCAAUUUCCUCUUAAUUGGCCACACAAAACAGGGAUAUAAAGCCCCUUUAAAUAAGCUAAAGUUAGAUGUCAAAUCAUACUAAAAUAUCUUUAGAGUAAUAAGAGUUUAAUUGGGAAAAAAUAGUAGAGUUUAACUAGGAGAAGAAACCCAAUUUAUGUGGAAAACAUGUUGCCACGUCGCAACGUCCUCAUACGCGUCGUCACAACGUUGUCCAUCGUUACAACGUCGAGAAGCUUCUUAUCACAACGUCACUAUUUGUUCAGCCGAAAAUAUGAGGCACACCCUACACUGUUUUUAGGGUUUAGUCAGUAGAUUUAGGAUUUUAAUUUAGGUUUUAUUUCUUUUAAAAAUAUUUCACAACUUAACAUGUUCACUAUGACCGAUGGUUUAUUUUAAUUUUCGGGCUUCAAAAUAGUCCAAAAACAUAAACUCAUUAUUGCAAUCAUUUUUAAGUAAUUCAUAUAGGAUUGAAAAUGAAUAAUUUCCAUUUCCAUUUUUAUUUCAAUUUUCAUUUUUUGAAACCUAUAUUUAUUUCCAAAUGAUUCUAUUUCUCCAUUUCAGAGAAAACUAUAAUCAUUCUUGAAUGUUUCUCAUUUCUCUUUUCCUAUUCAUUCCAUUCAUUUCCAUUCAAACAUGCAAUUCAUUUAUAGUUUCAACGAGCUAGCGGAGGGACCGAUUGGACAUAUGUAGUUGAGGCUCAAAUGAGUUAUAAUUAAGUUCUAGCUUUUCGCCUAUUAAUUAUAAACUCAUUUAGGCAUAAAGUCAUUCCACUAUAGUAUCGUAAUUGAACUCUCCCCAACUACAUACCAUUAUGGAAGCAACUAUUCAAUACUCGUCCAAUGACCUUGUCAUAAGUGUGUUCCCCUCAUAGGAUAUCCUUGAUUUCUUUGGGAUAAUAUCCGUUCUCCUAAUAUGAUCAUAUUUUAUCUCAUGGUAACCGUUACAUCUUCUUUCAUGAAAAUUCAAUCACUAUCAAAUAGUAAUCAAGUCAUCCAUCACAAAGACGGACGACCCGUGGUCACGUUUGCAUUUCAUUAACCAUGUAAUGCCAAUGAAAGGAUAUCAUUUACCCAUGUUUUGGACUAUGAAUUUCACUAUGUGAAUGUCACUACAUACUACAAAAGUCGUACACCUAAUGCACCAACUUUCAGUUCCUUAUCUAUUUGAACUAAAGCCUUUACUUAAAUCAAAGUGUAUGAGUCACACACACAUAGUCCGCCAUCCACUUAGGAUUUAGGUAUGUCACACUAUGAACGCCACGAGUGAAUAAAUCCAUAAAUGGAUUAAGGAUCUAUUCUUCUUGGGUCCUGUUUGAUGUACUGUCAGUCCAGUCAGUUACAUCUAUGUCUCUAUCUUUUGGAAGUCAUCCACUUCGAUGCCCAAGACAAAGCAUCUCCCCAAUUGGACUUGAUAGACAGCAUAUUAGUCUUUCAAUUGGUUUGCUCAUCUCCAAUUAGACUAAUGACAUAUUUAGGUUCAUCUACUAAUACAAGUUGUCUUUCUAUAUUACGAUCCGACCACGUAAUACCGCUUAAUAUUAGUUAAACAUUAGACAACUAGUGAGCAACAUUUGCUUCCAUUUUGCUUUGCGUACAAAUAUUAUUGAGGAAAAUAAUACAAAGUAUUAAUGUAAUUCAUGAAUAAUUUUAUUAACCAAUCUGUUCAAAAAAUUACAAGUGUCUUUAGACGAAAAUAUUACACUUAGGGCACUAGAUCCAACAUUAAUGACUUCCCCGUCGAUCGGUAGACUGAGUUAUAAACUAACAUCCUCAAGUGCAAUUGUACACUCACCACAGAGAAGAUGGACUGUGUGUGUCUCCGAUCUCCAUCUUUCAACCAAAGCAUUGAUAAGUGGGGGAUCCAAUUUAGUCCCCCGAACAUUCGAGUCACACUUAAAAAUCAUGUGCCUCGCAAGUGUCCAUAAAUGACAUUCAAUGCACAUUUGCUUAAAUUGUUUAUGUAUGUCUCCAAAAUCUGACAUUUGGGUUGAAUAUAUAAACAUAAAAAAAAUCUAAAUAUCAUAAUAAUUAACUAUUUAAAAUUAAAUAAUUUAAUAAUAUUUUCUUACCAUUUGUAAUUAAAUGUCGGAGAUUUGUUUGUCAUCCAAACAAAUAAUUUGAUUUGCUAUUUAAAAAUUAUAACGAAUAAAAUAAAAUUGAAGAGAAUAAAAUUCAGAAAAAGAAUUAAAAAGUAAUUAAGAAUUGAGAAUUGAUGAUUAAGAAUUUAGGAUUGAGGAAUGAGUAUUGAGAAUUUUUGGUUGAAAAAAAAAUGAAGUUUAAAGAGGGUUGUAUUGGAAAAUUUAUGGUUGUUGAAAUCAUUUUAGCCAUUGGAAAAGUUACAGUUGGAAUAAUUACCGUAGGACGCGUUUUUAUUCUUUCUUUUGAAAACGCGUCUUACAGGAUGCGUUUUCACUAAUGUGACAAUGAAAACUUUUUUCUUUCUCCAAAAAUAAACUAAAUCAAUAAAUGAAAAAAAAAACUUUCUCAAUUUGUUUUUCAGCAUAUUCUUAUUAUUCUGCCUAUAAAUAUAUCUUAAUCAUUUAAAAAUUUAUGUUUACAUAAGGGGUUUUUAAACCAAUAAAAAUACUAUCGAAAAUUUUAAAACAUAAAAGUAUUUUAAAAAAUUAAUAAUAUUAUCAACAUAUACCAUCCUAAAAUUUAAUAAAUUGUAAUCUGCGCAAACAAUCAACCUAUAAGUUUUAGAAUUUGUUAUGGCUUAGUUACUUGUAUUAAACAGGUUUAUGAGUGGGCAGCUCAAUUCCGUCUAAAUUUUGGGUUUUCUUAUAUCUUCAGCUCCAACCCUAAUUGCAAAAAGGUCGGGAGGUUGACCUCUCUCGUCUUUUGUGUAUGCCAAUCCUUUUGCAGUAACAGCAUUUUUGAUUCAUUGGAAUAGAAUAAAAUUAUAGUGAAAUGGUCCUUCUGUAAAAAUAGAAUAGAAUUUUAAUUAAAUUAAAUAGACAUAAUAGUAAUUUGUUGGACGGUAUUUAAUGACAUUAAAAAACUAAAAACGUUAAAUGUCGAAAUCAUAAAUAUACCCUUUAAUUUUUUUUUAUAAAAAUUUAAAAAUCAUUAAGAAAACCCAAAACUUUAAAUGUUGAAACUGCAAAUAUACCCAAUCAAUCACACUCUUGAAACCAAUUAAUGUUUAAAUUCUCAAAAUAUAUCAUGUUUUAACAUGGCUCUUAAAAUGUAUAAUUUAACUCUUCCCCUUUUAAAUUUUACAAUAUUUUAAUUUAGUAAAGUUAAGAGUACACUCUGUCUCUCAAAAAUGAUAAAAUUUUUAUUUAUUAUUUUAAAAAUUACAUUUCAGCUCUCAUCAAAAUAUGCAACCACGGAAAGUUUUUGACUUCGUCCCUGUGUUUUAACAUUGUAUUGCAUAUGCUAUUAACUUCAACGACAUGUUUAGUUCACAAGAAUUAAAUAGUUAUGCGGUGAGAAUUAAAUAUAUUUAAGAAAUUAAACUUAAAGAAAUUAUUUGCAAAUGUAAUUAAACAAUCAUCUUUUAAAUUUAAUGGAAAUUUAUAUAAUGAAAAAUAUUAUAUAGUAUUUAAUGUUAAAAUAAUUUGCUUUUAGCCUGGUUAUUAAUAUAUAUAUAUAUAUAUUUUACAUUUCUCUCCCUCACAAUCAUCUCCUCUCUCUCACAGUCUGGGUCUCAGUCUCUUGGUCCAGAUUCAAAAAGCAGAAAAAUAAAAACCCAAAAUUCAGCCUUCUUCCGUCACCUACAUCGUCGUCUACUAAACCCCAUGAACACUAAACAUAACUUCAUCUCUUCCCACUUCUGGAACUCAAAAUCUCACCAAUCUCUUCUUCAUUUUUUUUUUUUAUGUUUUCUUUUCAUGCGAUAUGAUUUCUCGGCAUAUGUUAGUUGAUUUUCUUUCUUUAAUUUUGGAGUUUUAGAUGAUUUUGUAAUUUAGGUAAAAAUAUAUAUAUUUCGGGUAAUCACCAAAUAAGCUAUUAAGAGAUGAUGUGUUUGAUGGUGAUUACUAGACUCUGUCACUUAGCCCUGAAUUAGGUCAUUCAGCUGAACCAAACAUUUGCUUCACUAUGGCGGGUUGAAUACACCCGAAAUGACUUGGCUAUUUAGGUGAAUUAAAUAUAUUGUAAUAGUUAUUAAUUAAUACAAUUAUGUUAUGUUAUCUAUAUUUAUUUGUAAUUCAUUUAUUGCUUUUUAUUUUAAUUAAUGAUGAAUUAUCAUUUUUUUUGGGUAAAAAUUUAUCAUUUUAUUAUACAGGGAUAGCAUAUGAAAUUCGUAACUUAAUAAUAUAUUAUUUUUUAGAGAUAAUGAUAUAUUUUUCCUUUAAACUUUGAUUAAUCUUUUAAUGUGGUAUCUGUAUUUUUACGUUGUUAAUCAAUCCAACAUUUCUAAGUGACGGAAUUAACUUUUAAUUUGUCUCGAUAUGUGACCCAAUUAUAAAAUGUCACGUGUUACUUUUUUUAUUAAAAAAAUCCAAAUAAUGAGAGGGACCUCAAGUUCGUUAACCCCUUUUGUCUUCAUUUCCUUUCUCUUUAUUUUUUUUAUUUUCUGAAAAAAAAAACCCUCCAUUUCUCUGACUUUUUUGUUUUCACUGCUAUUUUUUUAUUUCUAUUUCCUCAUUUCCUCAGCUAAUUUCAUCCUGUUGAUGGAAAUGGUGAGGACAACCAAACCAUGUUCCAACUCAAUUGUAAAGUUAUAAAAUUUUAAAAAAAUACUUACAUUUAAUAAAAUUUGAACUCAAAAUAUUAUAAUACUUUUUAAUAAAAAUUAAAAUAUCUCAAUGUUACCAAUUUAAGUUAAAUAUUUUAAAAAAUGUUUACCACUAUACAUAACAUUAUUGUUAGAAUGGACCAAUUGGUCUAAGCCCUUAUUUUGUAGGCUUGUAUUUGGCAGUUACCAAACUCAUGUGGAGAAUUCCAUAUUCUCUUUGCCAAUUAAAGUGAUAGAUGACCCCAGAGAUCCAAAAGGGACCAUUACCUUUACAGAAAAGGCAAUUCUUCCGCACUAAACACCUAGUUUUUGUUUUGGAAUCAAAUCAAAAAGCUGGAUGGAAUGAUGGAUGUAUUUUUAGAUGGUAAGGGUCUUUAUUUAAAUUAAAUUUUACAAAUAAUUGCUUUAAAAUAUUUAUUCAUUGAUAUAAAUCAAAAGUUUACAAACCAAAGAAGCAACAGAAGAAAACCUAAAUCCACUAAGUAAAUAUGAUGGACAAUUUAGAGUAGAAUUUCAAACACAGUAAUUUGCGUAGAAUAAUGCAUUUUAAUUAACUUAUGAACAACCCUUUUAACUUCUCUACAAAUCCCACAAAAAUGCAACAAAAAGGAGAGCACAAUCUCGCACUAGCUGACCAAAUUGAGUAUUAUCCUUCAAACCUUAUCAAUCAUAACAACUAUAAAAAAUGUGGAGAUUUUAACCAAAGACCAUGAACCACGAUGAAGACAUAUUAUAAAGGUUUGAAUAUCAUCUAUUUCUAUUUUUAUUUUUAAAUAUAAAAAAUGAACAAAUUUUGUUGGAUCGUUUUUCAAAAAUGCUUCUUAAAAUGCAAGCACUUAGUUGUAAUUAGUUCCUAGAACUUUUCAUGUAAUAUUUUGCACACAUACUUCUAUUGGCUGUUUAUUGCAAUCCUAAUAUUUGUUAACGAAAAACACUGAGAUAAGGGACUAAAAUAAAAUACAUUAAAGUUUGAACAUAUCAAAGUGAAAAUUUUGCAUAUAUGCAGAGACUAAUUGAUAUAUUAAAGAAUUUGAAAAUCGUGAAUAGUAUAUUUAUACAUUAAUUUUAUUUACCAAUACAACGUAGAAGUUGAGUGUAUGUCUUAGUUAAGUUACAUUUAAUUACUUCUUAAAACUUUUCAUAAAUUUGGUAAUUUUUCAUUAAUAAUAUUAAUAAUAUGAUUAUGAAUUUAAAACAUAAUAAUAUAUAAUUUUAAUUCUAAAAUAAUGAUAAUUUUGAAAUAGUUUUUAAAAUGUAAAUAUUGUAAUAGUAGAUUGUGUGAAAUUUUUAUUUUUAUAUAUAAUUUCUAAUUUAAUUUUAAGUAUUAAUUAGUGAAUGUAGAUUGAACACUAAAUAAAUUAUUGUAAUAUUCUUUAUAUUUUUAAAUAUCUAUUUCAAUUCUAAUAGUCUAUUUGAUUUGUAAAAAUAGUAAUAAGUUUAAAAAGAUUUUUUUUAUGUAAAAUUGUAAGUUGAAUUAUUGAAUACAAACAAAUUGGAAGGAAUUAUUCGACAACAUUAAAAAUUAUAUAAAAGAGGUAGUGGGGUUUAUGUUGCAAUUUUCUCCUCUCCAAAUGUUUACUUUCUUUCAUUGCCACGUGUCAAAUUCUUAUAAUGUGAACACAUUAAAAUAUAUGAUGAACUUAAAUAAACAAUAUCUUGAAAUUAGUUUUUAAAUGUAAAAUUAUAAGAGUAUAUUUUUAUAUAUAAUUUGUAACUGAAUUAAAUCUACCUGUCAUCACGAUAGGUAUAUGAUGUGCCACUAAAUUAAGCUUCCAUGACAUGAUUGAUUAUCAAGUAUACUUAUAUGGUAACUUUAAAAAUGAAAUUUAAUAAUUUAUUACUUGAAUUAAAAUUUCAAAAUAAAUAUAUUAAAUGACAUGUGCCACUUGUCAAUAAUUUAAGAUAAUUUCCAUAAAUGUAUACAUAUAGGAUUAGUUGUAUUUUCAUUACUUAUUUGGUAACUUUAAGAAAGAAAUUGUACUUGAAUUAAAAUUUCAAAGUAAAUAAUUAGAAAAUUAAAUGCUUUGAAUACACACAUGUUAAUAAGAGAAAGGCUGAGUUGUCAAUAUUUUACGCAACCAACUAAGAUAAUUUCCAUAAAUUCUUCAAUAUCUAAUUCUUUUCCCCUGCAAUACUUGAGUUGCUGAUGAAUUUUAGGGUCUGUUUGAUUGCCAAUAAAAUAUUUUCCGUAAAAUGAUUUCGGGAAAAUGUUUUACUUUUCUGUAAAAUGAUUUACUGGAAAAUAUUUUUUGGUGUUUGAUUGAAUCUGUGUAAAAUAUUUUCAGCUGUUUGGCAGAUUUCAUGGAAAUAUUUUUCAAAAAAAUUGUUUUUACAUAUAUUGAUAUGUAUUAAUAAAUUUUUAUAUUUUAAAUUAUUUUUACAUAUAUUGCAAUGAUUUAUUUAUAAUAAUACUCAAUUAUUAAGCUACAAUAUUAAUCGUUAUAAAUUGAAAAAAAUUAAUAUCAAAUAAAUUAUUUGUAAUUGUGUUAAAAAAUAAGUAUUGAAUAAUUAAAAAAAAAGUUACUGGAAAAUCGAUAAACAGAAGCAAUUUUCUACCGGAAAUGAAGGAAGGAAUGAAGGAGGCGAUAGAGAGGAGAGCACGGAAAAUGUCUUACGGAAAUUGAAAGGGUAAGACAUUUUCCCUAAAAUGUAACCCAUUUUCCCUUGUUUUGGAGUUCAUUUUCCAAAUGGAAAAUGUUUUCCGCCAAUCAAACGCUGGAAAAGUUGGAAAUGAUUUUCCGGAAAAUCAAUUCCUUCAAUCAAACAGACCCUUAUUUAAAUAACAACUCAAAUAUUUAACAGUCAAAAUCAUACAAAUUUAUUUUAAACCUAAAAUUUGAUGAGCUUUGAAAAUUUUUAAAAUUUAUUUAAAAAUAGUAUUUCAAAUUUCUAUAACUUUUAAAUUUGAUAAAUUAAUCGUUUUAUAAAUUUUAUUUUUUUAUUUUUGAGCAUUAAAUAGAAAAAAAAUUUAAAAAUAUAAAAAAUAGUUUUAAAAUUUUUAAGAAGUUUAUAUAAAAAUUGUAUUUCAAAUAUUUGUUAAAACAAUUUAGUUUUAAUAUUAUUGAUAAAAUGAUAUUUCAAUUUUAAUUUUUAAUAAUUAUUUUUCUACAUUUUAGAUUUUAAAAAAUAUAAUAGGUUUGCAAAAGCAUUUAAAAUGUAACACCCUAUAUCCGACCCUAUCGUCGGGUCUGAGCUACAAUGUGUUACAUUUGUUGCUAAAGCAACUAAUGUUAUAAUAAACACAAUUCAAACCAUUUAACAUUCAAAUACAGACAUCAUAAGCAAACAAUAUGAUAAGUAAACAUUCCCGGGUCUUAUACAAGUUUAUGGAAGCUUUAAGGUUAACCCGAGAUAGAAUCAUGACAAAAUUGCAAAAGUUUCAAAAUACAGAAUUGACAUAAUGGCGUGAGGGAGUUUCUCAUCACGAUGUGACAAACUGUUUGAUUUUGUCCAGACGGCGGGGUUCCUCGUCUCGCCGUGACAUUCUAAGCAUUUUCUCGUCACAACAUCACAUACUGUUUCUAUAAUUUUAUGAUGAUUGUCAACUUGCAAUUUUCCAACCAAGUUUCUAAACGGAUUCAAACUUUAACCAACCAAUAUUUGUAACUAUAUAGCCUCAAUUCCUGCAACUCAAUACCUUAUACAAUAUUAGGCCAAUACAUUACCACCUACAAGCCAUUUACCUAUUGCAAACCAUUUAAAUCAUUUACAUACUUACCUAUUUCACCAACUACAUAGAUAUUUAUUUGCAACAUUUCAUACCAAUUCAAACUACCUUUAAUUCCAUUACAAGACAUAUACUUUCAACUAGAGGUGAUCAUGGCCCGGGCCGGGCCGAGUUUGAGCUGGGCCCAGACAAAAUUUUAGGCUCGUUUUUUAGGCUUGGGCCAGGCUCGACCCGAAAUAUAGGCCUAAAAAUUUGUCCAAGCUUGGCUCGAAAGAAAAUUGCUAAGCCCGAGCCCGACCCAUAUUAAAUUUUACAACACCAAAAUAGUAUAAAAAACCUGUAAAAUUUUAGGGACUUUGAAGCUUGAUUUUGGAAUUGGGAAAAAAAAGAUGGCACGAUCUGAUGACGAAAGUGAAACAUGAAAGUUAAAAAGUAUAUUUGAUUAAAAAUAAAAAAUAUAUAUUUAAUAUAUAAUUCAGGCUGGGUCGGGCCUGGGCCAAAAAAGUUUUACAAGAGGCCCGACCCGUUUUCUAAACGGGCCUCAUUUUUUUGCCCAAACAAAUAUUUUUGCCCUAUAUUUUUAUCUGAACCCUCCUAUUUUUCGGGCGGGCCGUCGGGCCGGACCGGGUAGCCCAACCCAUGAUCACCUCUAUUUUCAACCAAAUUCUAACAUUAACCAUUAAACCAUAAGUGCAUAUGCACAUAACUUUAUAUACCAAAUUUGACUCAACCUAGGUACAUGCCUUAUAACCAACAAAAGAGAUUUAUACAAACAUUUUCGAGUUCGGGAUCUUAAUUGGAUGCUGAAGUCAGUACUCGGGAAUCUCGUUUGGGACCUAACCUACACACGGAAAAAUAAAUCAUACACUGAGCGAUAAAACUCAGUGGUAUUUCUAUACUUCAAAUCAAUAUAACAUAAAUGUUAUUCAAAUGUAAAUAAUCAAUUCAAGUCUAUUGUUCAACUAAUUCGUAUACCAAAUUGUAACAUAGACUUAGUGAUCAAUUCAUUUGGUUAUUUCAUAUCUUACUUUCUCUCACCUAUCUAACCAUUUUUCAUACAAACUUCACUUUAUACAUACUUGAUCAUUUAAUAUCACCAUUUAUAAAUGUAACACCCCAAACCCGACCUAGACGUUACGAUCAGUUUAUGGAGGUCACAUCACUAGAUAAAAAAAAGUACUGUUGUUUUGAAGAACCAAUUCCAGCAGGUUAAAACUUAAUUGUCUCGCUUUUUGAAAAAAAAACAUUUUAAACAUGUCAAAAGAUCAAGUAAAAUUCUCUUAUAAACAUAGCCCGCCAAAAUUAUUUUUAAUGAAAACCUCAAACUUAGUUUGUAGAGACAAUUACUUGAAAACUUAAAGUUUCAUUUUGGUCUCUUUAGGAAGAAUUAUUUAUCACUUAAGCUUUAUUUAAACUAUCCAUUUUAAACCUUGUGAACUAAACAAACAUAAAAUGUCCAAAAAUUAAUAAACCACAAUAGAGUCUGAAAUGUUCGAUUUAAACACAUAGAAUAAAACCAUAAUAUAGUAUAUUAAAAUCGUGAAAUUCGAGUCUCCAGUGACGCCAUCCAAAGCUAAGCUGGGGGAUCGCCUGAAACAAACAAAAACGUGAGCUAAUAGCCCAGUGUGCAUUUUGGCCCAAAGUCCAAAGAUCAUACAUUAAUGAUAUAUAUAUAUAUAUAUAUCAAUAUAUCACAUAUCGCAUAAAUUUCAGUUUAUUCAUAUCUUAGCACAUUAUAACUUAACAUACGGUGGUAUUUCAUGCUAGAUCAUAUUAAACAUAUCAUACGUAAUAUAUCUUACCCCCAUUUGUUACACACCAGCACCAUCCAGCCAAUCACACAUGUUGGACUACAUAAGCCCGUCCAUCCAAUCACACCAUGAUGUGGCAGUAUGCCACUCUUAUAAUUGCAGUUGGACUGCCUUACACAUAAUUUUGCGGUCUAGCUACCAUAUUUGUAGUAAAUACUGCUAUAUACACUUCCUCCAAUACAUUAUAUCCCAUCUUAUGCAUAAACAAAACAUACAUAUAUUUUAUACAUAAUAUAAUCAUAAACAGACGACAUGCUUAUGUACAAAAUUCAUUUAUGCAUAACAUAUCUUAUAGUUAAAUUUCAUCAUACAAUGUUUAUCAUGCUUUUAAUGAUACACAUACGAGCUUACAUGCUAAACUUACGGUUUUCUCGACUCUUAUGACAUCCUCAAACCCAAAUAUCAGAUCCUAUAAACGAACCCUGUUUGGGCCCUAAAAUUGGCCAAAAAGGCCCACACGAUCGUGUGGCCUACAUGGCCCAAAAGCCUAGCCUGUGUAGUCCACACGGUCUAUAGAAAUGCAUACGGUCGUGUACCUCACACGGCUUACUACACGGCCGUGUAAAAACUGGGCAGUUUCGUAACAACCUAUGUUUUGCGAUUUCAUCGAGUUUCAAAGUGAUUUUUUGAGUUGUAUUCACACACCUGAUAUCCAAAUCAAUCUCUCAUACGUCCGGAACUCACGAACCCUACGUUUGUUUAACACAUCACAUCACUUAACCACUAAAAUCCAUCAAAAUUAACAUAUGAUUUGCCAAAAUUCCAGUCCCAAAAAUCAUAAUCAAACUCUUACCACUUGAAAAUAAUGUCCUAGAUGAAUCAUAUUCUAUUGGAGAAACUUGAUUCCCUAAACCUUCGUCUAUCCAAAAACCAUGGAAAAUACUUAACACAAUAUUAAAUAAUACAAAUACUCAAACUUAAACUCAAACCCUAUUGAAAAACACCCUAGAAAAAUAGAAAAAUAUUAGUCGAAUUUACACUUUUGAUGAACCAAAAUUGCAACAAAUCCAACACCGAACCCCCACAUUGAACUAAAAAGGAAACGCACCCAAAGAACAAAUCAAGAAAGAGUUGAAAGAGAACCCAAAUAUUCAAGAAGAAAAAGAAAGAAAAAAAAGAAAAAAAUAGCAAAGGAAGAUGAUGAAAAUAACAAAAGCAGACAUGAGAGCAAGAAAAGAAGAAAUGGGUGGUUACCAAGUUGAGAAAUAAAGGGAAUUUUGAUAAGAUUUAAAUCAAUUAAAACAAAUAGGAUUUAACCACCAGAUUUUUAAUAGACUUCCAAUAGAAUUCAACUUCCAAACAAUAGUUGAAACAAAAAUAAUUUAAACAUGCGCAACACAAGAUUCGAAAAUCAAACCUCCCACAUAUAAUCACAAUACCUAUCCACUGAUCCAACUUAAAUUAUUUAACAUUAGAUAACAUACUAUACUUAUGAAACUGGGGCCGUUACAAUAAACAGAUACUCACGUAUAUAUAUACAUACACAUUCAUUAAUUUACAUGUUCAAUUUCAUCUCAUCAAUUCAAUCAUUUUUGAGGCUAUUGGCUCGUAAAUAGUUAGUCGAUCCUCAAGGCUCAUUUCUAACCAAUCUGCAUGGUCUUUCACAUGCUAUCAAAUGUCACAAUUCAUAUAUGAGCAAUUAUACCAGAUCGUUCAUAUUUUAUUUCAAUCAACUAUAUAUCCUAGCCAAAUUAUGUUUAUAUAAUACUGUUAACCUUUCUCGGAUUUCAAGAUGGAUAUAUGAAUUAACCAACUUGCAUCCUAAUUUGGCACUGUAGUGCAUCAUCGGAUAAACCAAAUGAAAUAUACACACAUUGUAUCAUUGGACAAGUCGAAACAAUUAUACUGAUACGCGUAGUGCAUCAUCAGAUAAAUCGAAACAAUUAUACUGGCACACAUAGUGCAUCAUCGAAUAUAUCGAAGCAAUUAUGCUGACACAUACAGUGCAUUAUUGGAUAUACCAAAGCAAUUAUACUGGCACACAUAAUGCAUCAUCGGAUAAAUCAAAGUAUAGCCUGUACAUUUAAUAAGUAACCAAUUUGCAAUUUCAUUAUAAGUUCAAUUCGAAUUCUUUCAAUCCCGAUUUCAUCAUCAAUUCACCAUUCCAGUACCGUAUAUAACAAAUCUCAACUCAAUUUCAUAUAUCAAGUAAGCCACACAACUUUCUAUUCUAUUCAUUAGUCCUCUAUCUCGAUAUACCAUAUCCAUCAUCUUCAUUUAACUCAUACAAGCAUUAUAUACUUACUUCAUAACUAAAUCAUGCAAUUUAACAUUAACAAACAAGAAUUAAAUUGAACCGGAUCAUAGAAAUACAAACUAGAAUUCCGAGCUACUCGUUGAUGACUUUGGAUUUUUCCUUUCCCUCUCGAUGGAUUUGGGUCAAUGUUAGCUACGGAUAAUCACAAAACAUAUAGUACUAUCAAUUUCGGACCAAUUCACAAUCAAUCACUGAUUCAUACAAGUUUUACAAUUUAUUCAAUUUAGUCCCUAAAUAUGGGAGAAGCAAAACUUUCAAUUUAAACCCUCGGAUUAAAAUCCAAUUUCACAAUUUAUCAUUAAGGACCUCCUAUUUCUUAUUUCUACUGUCAAUUUUACAUUUUAUUUGAUUUAGUGUUUUUUUACAAAACUAAGGAUUGAACUUUAUAAUCUAAUUCUUUUUCACAUCUAAGCUUAAAAUCUAUCAAUUUAACACCAAAAUUCUCAAGAAAUCAACAAUGGUAACUUCCAAAAACUUUAAUAAUUUUAUAAAUUGAUACAUGAACUAGCUAAAUCAAGCUCCCAUGACCUCAAAAACAUAAAAGUUACAAGAAAAAAGACUUAAAUUACCUAUCCAAUUUUUGACCGCAUGCUUGGAACCCUAGCUUGGUUUUUCUCCUUUGUUUCUUUGUAGAUUCGGUGAUGAAGGAGAAAAAAAUAAAGACGACAAGCAUUAAAGUUAUCUUUUAGACUUUGAUUUAUGUUAACUAAUCUUAUUUUAAUUAAUUAAAACAUAGUUUACUUAAUUAACUAAGCCAUUAAUCUAACAUCGUGGAUUCCACCAUCUUUUUCCACUAUCUACUAAUAGCAAUUGGUUUAAGUAUCAAUUUGAUCCUUUGGUUAAUUAAAAAUCUAUAGCGAUAAAGUUUUACAAUUUAGUUUUUAUAUCUUAAUUAAUUAUCAAUUCAUCAAAAUUAAAGGACCAAACUUUAAUAAAAUUUAAUACUAGCCUCGUAAAUAUUAAUUAUUAAUGUUUAUAGGCUCGAUUUAGAGAAAUAAAAUUUUGAAACCGCCAUUUCUGACACUACUAACUUUUGGAUCAUUACAUUAAAAGUAAGGAAACAUUCAUGUAAAAUUUUGGAAAAACUUCAAAGUUGUUUAGAAAUAAUGAAUAACGAGAAAAAAAAAAGAUAAAUUUCAAAAUUUAUAGUAAAUGUGGAGACAAAAAGACUUAUUGGGCAAAUAAUGAAGCCAUGAUUUCAAAAUUCUAAAACAUUUAAAACCCUGGAGGACUAAACUUAUGAGUUUAAAAACGAAAACCUUUGAAAAUUAUCUUAAAAACAUGUAGGGUCAAAUGCUACAAUUAAUUAUGCUGAAAUGUCAAAAUUUAAAAUAGAUAUAAAAUCGGAAGGGCCUAGGUUGUAAUUAAAAUAGGUGGAAGGCCUUAUAAAAAUAAUAGGAAAACACUAAUUAAGGGACUUAUCUUGCAAUUUCUUUGUGUAAAAGUACCACAAAACCCUUUGAACUAUACAUUGGAUUGCAUUUAAACCUUUCUAUUGAAAAAAAAGGGCAAAUUAUCCUAUGUACAUUGGAUGAGUGAGUAAAAUAGCUCAUCCGUUAUAAUUUGGUGUUUGUAUAUAACAUAUAAUAACAAAUUUAGCUCUCAAUCUUUACACAUUUAUUCAAAUUGACACCUACUCUUUUAUUAGAAGCAAAUUAGAAAAUUUUGAAAUUAAAAAAUUUUUAAUUUUAGAAAUUUUAAAAAUUAGUAACAAAUUAAAAAAAUCAAUUUAGAAUUUAAAAAAAAAUCAUAAAAUUAUAAAAAUAUAUAAAAAAAAGUAUAAAAUUUUUAUUAAAGAAUUACAAUACCGACCUAAUAAAAGAGUAGGGGUCAAAAUUUUCAAAAUAUUUAACCAUUAGACUUUAAUUGGUAUUUUUAAUAAAAAAAUAUAAUUUUAAUGAGCUACCAAUUUAUAUGGAUAUAUCUUUUAAUGAAAUGUUGUUUCAUAUAAUUAAAUAACACAACUAUCUGAUCAAUAUGUUAAACUUUUCUAAAUAAUAAAAUAUUAUACCUACUAAUAUUUUAAAUUACAAGUAAUUUCUAACCCAUAAGCCCAUUUAAAGUCAUGAAAAUCCAAGCGUAAAUCAAAUGAAAGGAAUUCGGUUACCAGGUCGAGUUCAUCAAUAAUUUUCUUGCCCUCCAAACACCAUUACUUAGAAACAUAAAUCUACUAUACAUAUAUAACUUCAUUACGUUAAUAAUUUAUGGGAUUUCGCACAAUGUCUUUGCUUUUCGUUGCAUCAUACUUCAAUCCAAAUGCUUAUGAAAUGUGAUCCGAUCAAUCUAGCCAUUUCCUGCAGGUCUCAUUUGUUUCACUGAAAGAAGGAUCAAGAAACCUUAUUAUAUUCAGCUUUUCAUAUUUUCAUAGUUUUUCAUUAUUUAAAAGUUUUUUUUAGAAAUGGGAUAAAUUAAUAGAAUCUGGACUAAAUUUUCUAUUAUGCAAAUAAUCGAUUAAUGAUUGAACGAAAAAAAAAAAGCAUACAGCACAAUACUGAAUAUUACUAGCUAAAACGUAAGAUCUCACCAAAACUAAGGUUGGUUCCUGUAAUUAAAUCUUUUUUCGGAACAAUUGAAUAUAAAUUUGAGAAUGCAUGAAAAAAUUAAGUUUCUAAAAUUAUAAUAAAGAGAUUCAAUUUUGGAUUUGGAUAAACAAAAUCAAUUCUAUUUGGAUAAUUUUUUACAAAAUUUGCACUAACUUUCAUUUAGUCGUAACUUUAUUGAUAAAUUUUGUUAGCUAUGUAAUAGAAAAGCAAACUCAGAAUAUGUAGCUUAUGUUUAACUUGGUCCUACUUAUCUGCUCAGUGCUCACUGUAUAAGAAUUGGUUCCGUAUAUAUGAACUUCAAAGGCUGUGAAUUUCUAUGAUUAGAGAUUUUCGUCAAGUAUGGGAGAUGGUGGGAGAAUCUUGGGAGGUUUCAAUUUAGCAAUCCUGAUGGUGAUGAUGCUAUUGAGCACCAACCGACACUGUGCGGCCGACGCGGUUAAGAAGAAUAGGAGCAUGAGCAGCCGCUGGUGCGAUGAUCUUCAAAUAAGGAGUGCCUGCAGCUUUCGGACGACAUAGACGAUGGAGUUGUUGAUGGAUUCAGAAGCAAGCAAAAUGGUAUUUGAAGCAAGUGCAGCAAUCGACUUCGCCAACAGUAAAAAUCCAACUACCAGAGCCCUUGACCCUUCUCCAGCUGCCUGCGACCGUAAUACUGGCAAGUCUUGCGAACCUGAUCGUAAUCCAGGCACAAAGGUACCUCCAAAUUGUAGUUCAAUAUGCAACAAAGAUUGCCACUGAUUUGCUACUUUUUCUUGCUAUGCUGGUAUAUUGUGUUUCAAUUUAUCAAGAUAUAUAUAUGUGUGUAUAUAAGGAUGAUGGAGAAACAUCUCUUUCAAUAUAUGCAUAAAUAUUUCUGGUUUCAUUAAUCUCUUUUCAUAAUUUGUAGUAUAUGUGACAAGCAGGUACUCUCAUCAAAUUCUAAUGUGUAGGCUCUUGGGAACAAUGCCUUGUAUAUUUCACCUUUGUAGAUUGUUUUGUAAUUUACUUUACCUAUUAACAAGAGGCAACACAUGAUUUGUCAGACCUACGAGGGUCAAAAAUGACAUUCUACAGCCUAAGAUUGAAGUAUAAUGAGACAACCUCCACAAUUCCCAAUAAAACAAAACCAGAACUGCAAAUCCGAACUUUACUAUCUCACUAUUUCACACCCUCUCAAUAACUGUUUAAAUAAAUAAAUAUUAAGAUAUCUUCAACUUUUAAUUUUAAAAUUUAAAUUAUUAAAAUUUAUUUAUAAUAGUUACAAUGUUUAGACGAAUUAUUAGUAUUUAUUUACAAGUUUUUCAUAUUUUUUUUAUUUAUUUAAUGAUGAUAUGUCAUGUUAUUAUUCACUUAUAAUUAAUAACGAAGUGAAGAGGCUAGCAUUGGCCCUGACCCCCUUAAAAUGAAAAAAUCUUCAUUUAGAUUCCUUUAUAAUUUAUUAAAAUUUAAAUUUAUAAUAGUAAAAUUACAUUUUGAUCCCAAAAUGAUAAAAAUUUGUAAUUAAGUUUCAGCUUUCCGCUUAUUAAUUACAAUAUUAUUUAGUCACAAAUUCAUUUCACUAAAGUAUAGUGAUUGAGCUUUCCCUUAUUAUAUAUCAUUACAAAAGCACUCAUUGAGUGCUCGUCCAAUGUCCCUGUUGUAAGUGUGUUAUUCUUAUAGGAUAUUCUUAAUCUUUUUAGGAUAAAUUCAAUCUCCCAAUAUAAUAUUAAUUUAUCUCAUUAUAAUCAUUAUAUAUUCCUUCUUGGAAAAUCAGUUACUAAUAAAUAGUAAUUAAAUCAUUUAUCAUAUUCAUAAGAUAAUCUCAUCACAUACCAAAACUAAAAUUUGUUAGCCAUACCAAUGGCUAACUAUACAUUCAUUUCACAUUAACAUCUACUUUACUAGCUUAUACAUGCCAUUGAUUUCCAAAAUAAAGUUUCUUUAUAUACUGAGAUCUUGAGGUUGAUAGUGUGAUGCGUCUCCGACCAAAUCCGACCUCUGAGCUCUUAACACUACAAAAUAGGGGAAAAGAAAACAGGGUAAGCACUUUGUGCUUAGUAAGCUCAUGUAACAAGAUUUAUACUUACCUAAUAUUUUCAAUACAAUACAAUAAACAUUCAUACAUCCAUUCAAUACAUUAUUCCCCUAUCAUGCACAAGCUCAACAUUCAAAUUAGUCCAAUAGUUUACAUGUAUCAAUAAUUUAACAAUGAUUGAUGAGCUCAUCAAUUCCAUGAUUCCCAUUUCCUUGUUAUUUUUCCAUAUUUAUCCCGUUGAAUUUCUUAAAAUUUCGAUGGAUUUUCAGAGGUAUACUUUAGUGCACAAAUCCGGGUCCGUCAAUUCAUAUUCAUGUGCGCACAUUUUCAUUUCAGAUAGCACACUCCCGCGAACCUCAUCCUUACAGCGGGAUUACGAGUCCAGGCUAAAUCCCCUGUAAGAUAAACUCAUAGAGUAAUGUCGGGAUUACCAGUCCAGGCUAAAUCCCCUGCAACGACAAUUACUCUAAUGAGCAUGGAUCUGAAUUACCAGUCCAGGCUAAAUUCAGACCCCAAUUCGGAUUACCCGUCCAGGCUAAAUCAAUUUUCCACAUAUUCUUCGGGAGGGCUAUAUCAGGAUAGGAUCACCCGUCCGGGCUAGAUCCUUUUUACCGUCAAUUCCUUUUCAGAGAUCCAUCGAAUUUUCCUUUCAUUCAACCGGGAUUUAUUUUCUCUUUUCAUCAAGAAUAUCAAUACUUCAUCAAUUAUCAUACAAUAAACAUCCAACUCAUUUUCACAUCAAUAAGAAACAUUUCAAGCAUUUAAGAAUAUAAUUCAAGUUACACGAACUUACCUCGACACUUGUUCGUAACCAAAAAUCUACUAAUCCCGAACUUUUUCUUUUCCUCGAUCUUUCUUCGUAUUUGAAUUUUUCGGAUCUAAAUAAAUAAAUUUAAUCAUUAAUCUAAUACUUUUCAUGUUCAUAUGUAACAUUCUCUAUAAUUCCAUUAUUAUUUAUAGUGCAUUCAAAGCUGUCUCACUGAGUCACAGUCACUAAAUUAUUUAUAUCUUGAGCUACGGAACUCCAAAUUAAGAUCUGAUAAUUUUCCCUGAAACUAGACUCACAUAUCUUCUUAUCAUAAAAUUUUCAGAAUUUUUGGUUCAGCAAAUAAGUACAGUUUAUUCUUUAAAAUUUCUCCUGUUUCACUGUUUGAUAGUUCCGACCUCUCUUCACUAAAAAUUAAUUAUCUCAUAGUACAGAAUUUGGAUGAUGUUUCCAUUUGUUUCUUCUGAAAAUAAACUCAUUAAGGAUUCUAACCAUAUAAAUUAUAACUCAUAAUUAUUUUUGUACAACUUUUAAUGAUUUUCCAAAGUCAGAACAGGGGAACCCGAAUUUAUUAUGACCUUGUCUUACAAAAUCUAUUAUAUCUCAUGAUUUACAAUUCCAUUGCUUACACCGUUUCUUUUAUAAGAAACUAGACUCAAUAAGAUUUAAUUUCAUAUUUUAUUCAUCCUCUAAUUCGAUCUCUAAAAUUUUUGGUGAUUUUUCAAAGUUAGAGUACUGCUGCUGUCCAAAACUGUUUUAGUGUAUGAUGUUAAUUACCAUUUUUCCCUAAACUUUCAAUAAAUGAUAAUUUCAUCCCUGCUCAAUUAACCUCUCAAUUGAGUUGAUUUUUCUCAAUUAACACUUUAUCCCAUCACUUUAGACUACUUUAUAACCUUUGUAAAUCAUAAUUUCAGCACUAGACUUUGAUUCCAAACAUUUUCACAAUUAGGUCCUACAAAUCAAUUUCUAUUGAAAUUACCUAAUAAAAUCAUCUCAUAAACAAAUUAAAGCUUAAAUUUCAUCCUAUUUCAUCAUAAACUUCCAGCACAUAUUCAUAGCAACUUUCAAAUUCAUUCACAAAAUCAAAAACUAAUGAAUUUAGUAAUAGGACCUAGUUUGUUAAAGUCUUAGAAACACAAAAAUUAUAAGAAAAAGGCUAGGAUUAACUCACUUGGUGCAAAAAUUAUGAAAAACCAGCUUGAAGAAACCCUUAGGACGUUUUUGGCUGAUGGGAAUGUAGAAAAAUAAAGAGGAAUCUAGAUAAUUCCACUUUAGUCCUAACUUUUAAAGCAAAUUUUGCAAUAUUCCAAUUUUACCCUUAAUUCUUCAAUUCUCCUGAUUUUUCUCAGCGUAUGCUGCCCAAAAUAUCUUCUUUUGGGGUUAUUUUCAAUUUAUAUCCCUCUUCAUUUAACAAUUAAGCUAUUUAAUCCUUCUAGUAACUUUUACACCUUUUUCAAUUUAGUCCUUUUCACAUAAUUGACUACCCAAACAUUAAAAUUUUCUAACGAAAUUUUAAUAUCAUAUUACUAACACUUCAUAAAUAUUUAUAAAAAUAUUUUUGAUUCGGUUUUACUAGAUCGAAGUCUCGAUACCUUGUUUUUACCCAAUUUCUUCUAUAAUUUCUUUUUCUAAACUAACCACUAAAUCGGUAAAAUUUUUCUAUCGAUAUUUUCAUACGAUUUUCCUAUCAUACCAAUAUUCAUGCAAAAAUAUUAAAAUAAAUUUCUCUUUAAAUCGGAUUUGUGGUUACGAAACCACUAUUCCGAUAACCUUGAAUUUGGGCCAUUACAUACAAGCAUUAUAUACUUACUUCAUAACUAAAUCAUGCAAUUUAACAUUAACAAAUAAGAAUUAAAUUGAAUCGGAUCAUAGAAAUACAAACCAGAAUUCCGAGCUACUCGUCGAUGACUUUGGAUUUUUCCUUUCCCUCUCGAUGGAUUUGGGUCAAUGUUAGCUACGAAUAAUCACAAAACAUAUAGUACUAUCAAUUUCCGACCAAUUCACAAUCAAUCACUGAUUCAUACAAGUUUUACAAUUUAUUCAAUUUAGUCCCUAAAUAUGGGAGAAGCAAAACUUUCAAUUUAAACCCUCGGAUUAAAAUCCAAUUUCACAAAUUAUCAUUAAGGACCUCCUAUUUCUUAUUUCUACUAUCAAUUUUACAUUUUAUUCGAUUUAGUGUUUUUUACAAAACUAAGGAUUGAACUUUAUAAUCUAAUCCUUUUUCACAUCUAAGCUUAAAAUCUAUCAAUUUAACACCAAAAUUCUCAAGAAAUAAACAAUGGUAACUUCCAAAAACUUUAAUAAUUUUAUAAAUUGAUACAUGAACUAGCUAAAUCAAGCUCCCAUGACCUCAAAAACAUAAAAGUUACAAGAAAAAAGACUUAAAUUACCUAUCCAAAUUUUGACUGCAUGCUUGGAACCCUAGCUUGGUUUUUCUCCUUUGUUUCUUUGUAGAUUCGGUGAUGAGGGAGAAAAAAAUAAAGAUGACAAGCUUUAAAGUUGAGAAAAAAAUAAAGAUGACAAGCUUUAAAGUUAUCUUUUAGACUUUGAUUUAUGUUGCCUACUCUUAUUUUAAUUAAUUAAAACAUAGUUUACUUAAUUAACCAAGCCAUUAAUCUAACAUCGUGGAUUUCACCAUCUUUUUCCACUAUCUACUAAUAGCAAUUGGUUUAAGUAUCAAUUUGAUCCUUUGGCUAAUUAAAAAUCUAUAGCGAUAAAGUUUUACAAUUUAGUUUUUAUAUCUUAAUUAAUUAUCAAUUCAUCAAAAUUAAAGGACCAAACUUUAAUAAAAUUUAAUACUAGCCUCGUAAAUAUUAAUUAUUAAUGUUUAUAGGCUCGAUUUAGAGAAAUAAAAUUUUGAAACCGCCAUUUCUGACACUACUAACUUUUGGAUCAUUACAUUAAAAGUAAGGAAACAUUCAUGUAAAAUUUUGGAAAAACUUCAAAGUUGUUUUGAAAUAACGAAUAACGAGAAAAAAAAAGAUAAAUUUCAAAAUUUAUAGUAAAUUUGGAGACAAAAAGACUUAUUGGGCAAAUAAUGAAGCCAUGGUUUCAAAAUUCUAAAACAUUUAAAACCCUGGAGGACUAAACUUAUAAGUUUAAAAACGAAAACCUUUGAAAAUUAUCUUAAAAACAUGUAGGGUCAAAUGCUACAAUUAAUUAUGCUGAAAUGUCAAAAUUUAAAAUAGAUAUAAAAUCGGAAGGGCCUAGGUUGUAAUUAAAAUAGGUGGAAGGCCUUAUAAAAAUAAUAGGAAAACACUAAUUAAGGGACUUAUCUUGCAAUUUCUUUGUGUAAAAGUACCACAAAACCCUUUGAACUAUACAUUGGAUUGCAUUUAAACCUUUCUAUUGAAAAAAAAGGGCAAAUUAUCCCAUGUACAUUGGAUGAGUGAGCAAAAUAGCUCAUCCGUUUUAGUUUGGUGUUUGUAUAUAAUGUAUAAUAACAAAUUUAGCUCUCAAUCUUUACACAUUUAUUCAAAUUGACACCUAUUCUUUCAUUGGAAGCAAAUUAAAAAUUUUUGAAAUUAAAAAUUUUUUAAUUUUAGGAAUUUUAGAAAUUAGUAACAAAUUUAAAAAAUCAAUUUAAAAUUUUAAAAAAUCAUAAAAAAUAUAGAAAAUUAUAAAAUUUUUAUUAAAGAAUUACAAUAUCGACCUAAUAAGAGAGUAGGGGUCAAAUUUUUCAAAAUAUUUAACCAUUAGACUUUAAUUGUAUGUAUUGUUAUUUUUAAUAAAAAAAUUAUAAUUUUAAUGAGCUACCCUUUUAUUUAUAUAUGGAUGUAUGUUUUAAUGAAAUGUUGUUUCAUAUAAUUAAAUAACACAACUAUCUGAUCAAUAUGUUAAACUUUUCUAAAUAAUAAAAUAUUAUACCUACUAAUAUUUUAAAUUACAAAUAAUUUCUAACCCAUGAAAAUCCAAACGUAAAUCAAAUGAAAGGAAUUCGGUUACCAGGUCAAGUUCAUCAAUAAUUUUCUUGCCCUCCAAACACCAUUGCUUAGAAACAUAAAUCUACUAUACAUAUAUAACUUCAUUACGUUAAUAAUUUAUGGGAUUUCGCACAAUGUCUUUGCUUUUCGUUGCAUCAUACUUCAAUCCAAAUGCUUAUGAAAUGUGAUCCGAUCAAUCUAGCCAUUUCCUGCAGGUUUCAUUUGUUUCACUGAAAGAAGGAUCAAGAAACCUUAUUAUCACUACACCAGAAUAGGCUUUUAGCGGAACUUUUUGCGGCGUUUGGAACAAAAGCGCCACAAAAAAUAGAGCAUUAGCGGCGGUUUAGCCAAAGCGCCGCUAAAGGUAGAGCAUCAGCGGCGUUUAUACGGAAGCGCCGCUAAAAAUAGGAAUUAACGGCGUUUUAUAUAAAGCGCCACAAAAAACCUAAGACGAAUGGCGUCGUUUUUUGUGAUUUUUUAAACAUUUAGCGGCGUUUUUGUCUAAGCGCCGCUAAUGCUCGGGUCUAUAGCGGCGUUUUUGUCUAAGCGCUGCUAAU